rnacentral:rRNA from 1 species
UACGGAGGGUGCAAGCGUUGUCCGGAAUCACUGGGCGUAAAGGGCGCGUAGGCGGCUCAUGAAGGCUGUGGUGAAAGUCCGGGGCUCAACCUCGGAUCGGCCGUGGCGACUCGUGGGCUGGAGCACUGUAGAGGCGGGUGGAAUUCCGGGUGUAGCGGUGGAAUGCGUAGAGAUCCGGAAGAACACCAGUGGCGAAGGCGGCCCGCUGGGAUACUUGCUGACGCUGAGGCGCGACAGCGUGGGGAGCAAACAGG